UACGUAGGGUGCGAGCGUUAAUCGGAAUUACUGGGCGUAAAGUGUGCGCAGGUGGCCGCGCAAGUCGAGUGUGAAAUCCCCGAGCUUAACUUGGGAAUUGCGCUCGAAACUACGUGGCUCGAGUGUGGCAGAGGAAGGUGGAAUUCCACGUGUAGCGGUGAAAUGCGUAGAGAUGUGGAGGAACACCGAUGGCGAAGGCGGCAUCCUGGACCGGUAUUGACGCUGAGGCGCGAAAGCCAGGGGAGCAAACGGG
rnacentral:rRNA from 1 species